AUAAAGUGAUUUAAGCAUAUUGACUUAAAUAUAAACUAAUUUUCUAUUAUUUUCCAAUAAGCCGAUAGAGCAUACCAAUAUUUGGGUGAGAAUCCAAUUAUUAAAAUAAUGAUGCUGUAAUUAACAUUUAGAAUGUUGUAUAUCUUUUGACAUUUCUGAUACUGAGUCAUGAAUGAACCAAUGGAAUUCAAUUAUUUUAAAUGUUUGGUUAAAUACAGUACAUUUUUAACAUGUUGCAAUCUUCAAAACAGGUGAGGACAUUGAUACAUACGAUGAUUUGGCGAAUGGAACAUACCAAUAUUUGGAUGAGGACAUUGAUCCAUAUGAUGAUUUUG
ensembl:lncRNA